rnacentral:rRNA from 1 species
GACGAACCGUGCAAACGUUGUUCGGAAUCACUGGGCUUAAAGGGCGCGUAGGCGGGUGAGCAAGUCCGGGGUGAAAUCUUUCGGCUUAACCGGAAAAGUGCCUUGGAUACUGCUUGUCUGGAGGAAGGUAGGGGCAGGUGGAACUUCUGGUGGAGCGGUGAAAUGCGUUGAUAUCAGAAGGAACGCCGGUGGCGAAAGCGACCUGCUGGACCUUUUCUGACGCUGAGGCGCGAAAGCUAGGGGAGCAAACGGG